GAGUUGCCUUCCUCGGCACCUUCCGGCACUCAUGGCGUCAGCAGUGCUUCCCGAGAAGAAGAGAUGGCACUGAGGGACCUCCGCCAGAUCACCACCUCUCGCUGAAUCGGACCCUGCGGUCCCUCCUCGAUGCCGAGCUCCAUGACCAUGAGCCCCAAUCCCUCGCGCCCUCCGCCGCCGCCGCCGCCGCCGCCGCCGCCGUCACCGUGGCGGACAGCAUCCCCGUCGUUGCACCGUCAGUUCGUCACUGAAUCGAGUGGUUGGAGAUAAACUUUAUCCAAGAUGCUGUUCUGAUGCUUUCUUCUAUGAAGUUGCUCGAUUGUAUUCAGUCAGUUACCAGGCUGAAGUUGGUGGUUUCCAGCAUGACGGAUCUCUGCACCUACAAGCAAGGAGUGAAAAGUAUGGAAAGCUGGAGAGGGGUCCAUUGCGGACGGUACCUCCAUAUAUCUGGUUCGUUAAACGAAAGAAGCAGCAGCCUCAUCAUCUUGAGAAAUACAGUGUGGAGUUGAGUCUUGGUUGCGACGGAUUCAUGAUAAGAUCUUCAGUUUCCAGACAGUAGACAGCAGAGACUUGCUGAUUAUCGCUGCCUGCUCUGUUGACGAUACCUUGGAGGCAAAAUACAUACAUGACUACAUAUGUGCACCUAACUGAGUACAGAGAUGUAGCGAGUGCUUCGCUCCACUCUGGGCUGAACAUGCAUUUGAUAAUGGAUUUUAAUGGUGUCGGCAAUGUAGUUCCAGGCAGUUAUUUGAUCUAUCUGUUGCUAGCUCACUGCUCUUUUUGGUCCUGUGGAAUGUAAAUAAUGUACCAGUAGGAUGAAUUGUGCAAGGGAGGUUUUUGUGUUGCCUGCUGGGAGAUUAAUUUGCAUAUAAUGUGGAUGGUACUACUCCCUGUCAUAAAAUGCGUAUCUGAUGACUA